rnacentral:rRNA from 1 species
CCUACGGGUGGCAGCAGUGGGGAAUAUUGCACAAUGGGCGCAAGCCUGAUGCAGCCAUGCCGCGUGUGUGAAGAAGGCCUUCGGGUUGUAAAGCACUUUCAGCGGGGAGGAAGGCGGUGAGGUUAAUAACCUCAUCGAUUGACGUUACCCGCAGAAGAAGCACCGGCUAACUCCGUGCCAGCAGCCGCGGUAAUACGGAGGGUGCAAGCGUUAAUCGGAAUUACUGGGCGUAAAGCGCACGCAGGCGGUCUGUCAAGUCGGAUGUGAAAUCCCCGGGCUCAACCUGGGAACUGCAUUCGAAACGGGCAGGCUAGAGUCUUGUAGAGGGGGGUAGAAUUCCAGGUGUAGCGGUGAAAUGCGUAGAGAUCUAGAGGAAUACCGGUGGCGAAGGCGGCCCCCUGGACAAAGACUGACGCUCAGGUGCGAAAGCGUGGGGAGCAAACAGGAUUAGAUACCCCAGUAGUC